UACGUAGGGUGCGAGCGUUAAUCGGAAUUACUGGGCGUAAAGCGUGCGCAGGCGGUUCGUCGUGUCCGAUGUGAAAGCCCCGGGCUCAACCUGGGAAUGGCAUUGGAAACUGGCGGACUCGAGUGUGGCAGAGGGGGGUGGAAUUCCGCGUGUAGCAGUGAAAUGCGUAGAGAUGCGGAGGAACACCGAUGGCGAAGGCAGCUCCCUGGGCUAACACUGACGCUCAGGCACGAAAGCGUGGGGAGCAAACAGG
rnacentral:rRNA from 1 species